GCAAGUCGAACGGUAGCAGAAAGUGCUUGCACUUUGCUGACGAGUGGCGGACGGGUGAGUAAUACUUGGGAAUGUGCCUUUGCGUGGGGGAUAACCAUUGGAAACGAGGGCUAAUACCGCAUGAUGUCUACGGACCAAAGGGGGGACUUGUUCCUCCCGCGCAAAGAGCAGCCCGAGCGAGAUUAGCUAGUUGGUGUGGUAAAGGCGCACCAAGGCGACGAUCUCUAGCUGUUCUGAGAGGAAGAUC
rnacentral:rRNA from 1 species